AUCCAGCUAACGAGUUCCAAGCAGAACGAAACGCGCGUCCUGGAA
rnacentral:hammerhead_ribozyme from 1 species